rnacentral:rRNA from 1 species
CCCGUAACGAGCCGCAACCCUUGUCCUUAGUUGCCAGCAGUUCGGCUGGGCACUCUAAAGGGACUAGCCGGUGUUAAACCGGGAGGAAGGUGGGGAUGACGUCAAGUCCUCAUGGCCUUUAUGACCAGGGCUACACACGUACUACAAUGGCCGAUACAAAGGGCAGCGACACUGCGAGGUGAAGCCAAUCCCGUAAAAAUCGGUCUCAGUCCGGAUUGGAGUCUGCAACUCGACUCCAUGAAGUUGGAAUCGCUAGUAAUCGUGGAUCAGCAUGCCACGGUGAAUACGUUCCCGGGCCUU